CCUACGGGAGGCAGCAGUGAGGAAUAUUGGUCAAUGGGCGCAAGCCUGAACCAGCCAAGUCGCGUGCGGGAAGACGGUCCUAUGGAUUGUAAACCUCUUUUGUCCGGGGGUAAACGCCGACACGCGUGUCUUUCCGAGAGUAUCCGACGAAUAAGCAUCGGCUAACUCCGUGCCAGCAGCCGCGGUAAUACGGAGGAUGCCAGCGUUAUCCGGAAUUAUUGGGUUUAAAGGGGGCGGAGGCCGGAAGUCAAGUGAGCGGUGAAAUGUCCGGGCUGAACCCGUGCCGUGCAGCGGAAACUGGCGUGCUUGAGUACGCGGAAAGCAUGCGGAAUGCGUGGUGUAGCGGUGAAAUGCAUAGAUAUGACGAAGAACCCCGAUUGCGAAGGCAGCUUGCCGCAGCGGAACUGACGCUGAUGCUCGAAAGCGCGGGUAUCGAACAGGAUUAGAUACCCCAGUAGUC
rnacentral:rRNA from 1 species